rnacentral:rRNA from 1 species
AUUGAACGCUGGCGGCAUGCCUUACACAUGCAAGUCGAACGGUAACGGGCCUUCGGGUGCCGACGAGUGGCGAACGGGUGCGUAAUACAUCGGAACGUGCCCGAUCGUGGGGGAUAACGAGGCGAAAGCUUUGCUAAUACCGCAUACGAUCUACGGUUGAAAGCCGGGGACCGCAAGGCCUUGCGCGGACGGAGCGGCCGAUGGCAGAUUAGGUAGUUGGUGGGAUAAAAGCUUACCAAGCCGACGAUCUGUAGCUGGUCUGAGAGGAUGAUCAGCCACACUGGGACUGAGACACGGCCCAGACUCCUACGGGAGGCAGCAGUGGGGAAUUUUGGACAAUGGGCGCAAGCCUGAUCCAGCCAUGCCGCGUGCAGGAUGAAGGCCUUCGGGUUGUAAACUGCUUUUGUACGGAACGAAAAGCCUUCUUUUAAUACAGGAGGGUCAUGACGGUACCGUAAGAAUAAGCACCGGCUAACUACGUG